GGUUAAGCGACUAAGCGUACACGGUGGAUGCCCUGGCAGUCAGAGGCGAUGAAGGACGUGCUAAUCUGCGAUAAGCGUCGGUAAGGUGAUAUGAACCGUUAUAACCGGCGAUUUCCGAAUGGGGAAACCCAGUGUGAUUCGACACACUAUCAUUAACUGAAUCCAUAGGUUAAUGAGGCGAACCGGGGGAACUGAAACAUCUAAGUACCCCGAGGAAAAGAAAUCAACCGAGAUUCCCCCAGUAGCGGCGAGCGAACGGGGAGCAGCCCAGAGCCUGAAUCAGUGUGUGUGUUAGUGGAAGCGUCUGGAAAGGCGCGCGAUACAGGGUGACAGCCCCGUACACAAAAAUGCACAUGCUGUGAGCUCGAUGAGUAGGGCGGGACACGUGGUAUCCUGUCUGAAUAUGGGGGGACCAUCCUCCAAGGCUAAAUACUCCUGACUGACCGAUAGUGAACCAGUACCGUGAGGGAAAGGCGAAAAGAACCCCGGCGAGGGGAGUGAAAAAGAACCUGAAACCGUGUACGUACAAGCAGUGGGAGCACGCUUAGGCGUGUGACUGCGUACCUUUUGUAUAAUGGGUCAGCGACUUAUAUUCUGUAGCAAGGUUAACCGAAUAGGGGAGCCGAAGGGAAACCGAGUCUUAACUGGGCGUUAAGUUGCAGGGUAUAGACCCGAAACCCGGUGAUCUAGCCAUGGGCAGGUUGAAGGUUGGGUAACACUAACUGGAGGACCGAACCGACUAAUGUUGAAAAAUUAGCGGAUGACUUGUGGCUGGGGGUGAAAGGCCAAUCAAACCGGGAGAUAGCUGGUUCUCCCCGAAAGCUAUUUAGGUAGCGCCUCGUGAAUUCAUCUCCGGGGGUAGAGCACUGUUUCGGCAAGGGGGUCAUCCCGACUUACCAACCCGAUGCAAACUGCGAAUACCGGAGAAUGUUAUCACGGGAGACACACGGCGGGUGCUAACGUCCGUCGUGAAGAGGGAAACAACCCAGACCGCCAGCUAAGGUCCCAAAGUCAUGGUUAAGUGGGAAACGAUGUGGGAAGGCCCAGACAGCCAGGAUGUUGGCUUAGAAGCAGCCAUCAUUUAAAGAAAGCGUAAUAGCUCACUGGUCGAGUCGGCCUGCGCGGAAGAUGUAACGGGGCUAAACCAUGCACCGAAGCUGCGGCAGCGACGCUGAUGCGUUGUUGGGUAGGGGAGCGUUCUGUAAGCCUGCGAAGGUGUGCUGUGAGGCAUGCUGGAGGUAUCAGAAGUGCGAAUGCUGACAUAAGUAACGAUAAAGCGGGUGAAAAGCCCGCUCGCCGGAAGACCAAGGGUUCCUGUCCAACGUUAAUCGGGGCAGGGUGAGUCGACCCCUAAGGCGAGGCCGAAAGGCGUAGUCGAUGGGAAACAGGUUAAUAUUCCUGUACUUGGUGUUACUGCGAAGGGGGGACGGAGAAGGCUAUGUUGGCCGGGCGACGGUUGUCCCGGUUUAAGCGUGUAGGCUGGUUUUCCAGGCAAAUCCGGAAAAUCAAGGCUGAGGCGUGAUGACGAGGCACUACGGUGCUGAAGCAACAAAUGCCCUGCUUCCAGGAAAAGCCUCUAAGCAUCAGGUAACAUCAAAUCGUACCCCAAACCGACACAGGUGGUCAGGUAGAGAAUACCAAGGCGCUUGAGAGAACUCGGGUGAAGGAACUAGGCAAAAUGGUGCCGUAACUUCGGGAGAAGGCACGCUGAUAUGUAGGUGAAGUCCCUCGCGGAUGGAGCUGAAAUCAGUCGAAGAUACCAGCUGGCUGCAACUGUUUAUUAAAAACACAGCACUGUGCAAACACGAAAGUGGACGUAUACGGUGUGACGCCUGCCCGGUGCCGGAAGGUUAAUUGAUGGGGUUAGCGCAAGCGAAGCUCUUGAUCGAAGCCCCGGUAAACGGCGGCCGUAACUAUAACGGUCCUAAGGUAGCGAAAUUCCUUGUCGGGUAAGUUCCGACCUGCACGAAUGGCGUAAUGAUGGCCAGGCUGUCUCCACCCGAGACUCAGUGAAAUUGAACUCGCUGUGAAGAUGCAGUGUACCCGCGGCAAGACGGAAAGACCCCGUGAACCUUUACUAUAGCUUGACACUGAACAUUGAGCCUUGAUGUGUAGGAUAGGUGGGAGGCUUUGAAGUGUGGACGCCAGUCUGCAUGGAGCCGACCUUGAAAUACCACCCUUUAAUGUUUGAUGUUCUAACGUUGACCCGUAAUCCGGGUUGCGGACAGUGUCUGGUGGGUAGUUUGACUGGGGCGGUCUCCUCCUAAAGAGUAACGGAGGAGCACGAAGGUUGGCUAAUCCUGGUCGGACAUCAGGAGGUUAGUGCAAUGGCAUAAGCCAGCUUGACUGCGAGCGUGACGGCGCGAGCAGGUGCGAAAGCAGGUCAUAGUGAUCCGGUGGUUCUGAAUGGAAGGGCCAUCGCUCAACGGAUAAAAGGUACUCCGGGGAUAACAGGCUGAUACCGCCCAAGAGUUCAUAUCGACGGCGGUGUUUGGCACCUCGAUGUCGGCUCAUCACAUCCUGGGGCUGAAGUAGGUCCCAAGGGUAUGGCUGUUCGCCAUUUAAAGUGGUACGCGAGCUGGGUUUAGAACGUCGUGAGACAGUUCGGUCCCUAUCUGCCGUGGGCGCUGGAGAACUGAGGGGGGCUGCUCCUAGUACGAGAGGACCGGAGUGGACGCAUCACUGGUGUUCGGGUUGUCAUGCCAAUGGCACUGCCCGGUAGCUAAAUGCGGAAGAGAUAAGUGCUGAAAGCAUCUAAGCACGAAACUUGCCCCGAGAUGAGUUCUCCCUGACUCCUUGAGAGUCCUGAAGGAACGUUGAAGACGACGACGUUGAUAGGCCGGGUGUGUAAGCGCAGCGAUGCGUUGAGCUAACCGGUACUAAUGAACCGUGAGGCUUAACCUU
rnacentral:rRNA from 1 species